GAUGAACGCUGGCGGCGUGCCUAAUACAUGCAAGUCGAGCGAACGGACGAGAAGCUUGCUUCUCUGAUGUUAGCGGCGGACGGGUGAGUAACACGUGGAUAACCUACCUAUAAGACUUGGAUAACUUCGGGAAACCGGAGCUAAUACCGGAUAAUAUUUUGAACCGCAUGGUUCAAAAGUGAAAGACGGUCUUGCUGUCACUUAUAGAUGGAUCCGCGCUGCAUUAGCUAGUUGGUAAGGUAACGGCUUACCAAGGCAACGAUGCAUAGCCGACCUGAGAGGGUGAUCGGCCACACUGGAACUGAGACACGGUCCAGACUCCUACGGGAGGCAGCAGUAGGGAAUCUUCCGCAAUGGGCGAAAGCCUGACGGAGCAACGCCGCGUGAGUGAUGAAGGUCUUCGGAUCGUAAAACUCUGUUAUUAGGGAAGAACAUAUGUGUAAGUAACUGUGCACGUCUUGACGGUACCUAAUCAGAAAGCCACGGCUAACUACGUG
rnacentral:rRNA from 1 species